rnacentral:rRNA from 1 species
UACAGAGGGUGCGAGCGUUAAUCGGAAUUACUGGGCGUAAAGCGUGCGUAGACGGUUAUUUAAGUCGGGUGUGAAAGCCCCGGGCUCAACCUGGGAAUUGCAUUCGAGACUGAAUAGCUAGGGUACGGUAGAGGGAAGUGGAAUUUCCGGUGUAGCGGUGAAAUGCGCAGAUAUCAGGAAGAACACCAAUGGCGAAGGCAGCUCUCUGGGACGGUACUGACGCUGAGACGCGAAAGCGUGGGGAGCGAACAGG